UCGUAGUAGACCAGCAGGGAUUGCCUUAGUAACGGCGAGUGAAGCGGCAACAGCUCAAAUUUGAAAGCUGGCCCUUUUAGGGUCCGCAUUGUAAUUUGUAGAGGAUGAUUCGGCGAGGGCUCCUGCCUAAGUCCCCUGGAACGGGGCGUCAUAGAGGGUGAGAAUCCCGUAUGCGGUAGGUUGCCUUAGCCAUGUGAAUCUCCUUCGACGAGUCGAGUUGUUUGGGAAUGCAGCUCUAAAUGGGAGGUAAAUUUCUUCUAAAGCUAAAUACCGGCCAGAGACCGAUAGCGCACAAGUAGAGUGAUCGAAAGAUGAAAAGCACUUUGGAAAGAGAGUUAAAAAGUACGUGAAAUUGUUGAAAGGGAAGCGCUUGCAACCAGACUUGUCCGCAGUUGCUCAGCCGGUCUCCUGACCGGCGUACUCUUCUGCGGCCAGGCCAGCAUCAGUUCGGGCGGUCGGAUAAAGGCCUCGGGAAUGUAGCUCCUCUCGGGGAGUGUUAUAGCCCGGGGUGGAAUGCGGCCAGCCUGGACUGAGGAACUCGCUUCGGCAAGGAUGCUGGCGUAAUGGUUGUAAGCGGCCCGUCUUGAAACACGGACCAAGGAGUCUAACAUCUAUGCGAGUGUUCGGGUGUCAAACCCGUACGCGUAAUGAAAGUGAACGGAGGUGAUAACCCGCAAGGGUGCACCAUCGGCCGAUCCUGAUGUCUUCGGAUGGAUUUGAGCAAGAGCAUAUCUGUUGGGACCCGAAAGAUGGAGAACUAUGCCUGAAUAGGGUGAAGUCAGAGGAAACUCCUGGUGGAGGCUCGCAGCGAUCUGACGUUGCAAAUUCGGAUCGUCAAUUUUGGGGUAUAGGGGGACGAAAAAGGACCUAAAUCCGAAAC
rnacentral:rRNA from 1 species